GCUUAGCCCUAAACACAGAUAUUCUAAUACACCAAUAUCCGCCAGAGAACUACAAGCGAAAAGCUAGAAACUCCAAGGACUUGGCGGUGCUUCAAACCAACCUAGAGGAGCCUGUCCUAUAAUCGAUAUUCCACGUUCUACCUUACCCCCCUUAGCCUUCAGCCUAUAUACCGCCGUCGUCAGCCUACCUUAUGAAAGAAACAAAGUAAGCAAAACAGUUAAUAACUAAAACGUCAGGUCAAGGUGUAGCACAUGGGCGGGCAGAGAUGGGCUACAUUUUCAAAACGAACAUACGGAUAAUAUGUUGAAACACAUAUUUGAAGGUGGAUUUAGUAGUAAAAUAACAAAGAAAACCUUAUUGAAACUUGCUCUGAAGCGCGC
rnacentral:rRNA from 1 species